rnacentral:rRNA from 1 species
CCCUUAGAUGUUCGGGGCCGCACGCGCGCUACACUGAAGGAAUCAGCACGUCUUUCUCCUUGUCCGAAAGGACUGGGUAACCCGCUGAACCUCCUUCGUGCUAGGGAUUGGGGCUUGUAAUUCUUCCCCAUGAACGAGGAAUUCCCAGUAAGCGCGAGUCAUAAGCUCGCGUUGAUUACGUCCCUGCCCUUUGUACACACCGCUCGUCGCUACUACCGAUUGGAUGGUUUAGUGAGAUCCUCGGAUUGGUCCCGGAGCGGCCUCUGGUCGUGCCGGAGUGCCGAAAAGAAUGUCGAACUUGAUCAUCUAGAGGAAGUAAAAGUCGUAACA